GGCAGAACGGGUGAGUAAUCGCGUCGGAACGUACCGAGUAAUGGGGGAUAACGCACCGAAAGGUGUGCUAAUACCGCAUACGCCCUGAGGGGGAAAGUGGGGGACCGCAAGGCCUCACGUUAUUCGAGCGGCCGACGUCUGAUUAGCUAGUUGGUGGGGUAAAGGCCUACCAAGGCGACGAUCAGUAGCGGGUCUGAGAGGAUGAUCCGCCACACUGGGACUGAGACACGGCCCAGACUCCUACGGGAGGCAGCAGUGGGGAAUUUUGGACAAUGGGCGAAAGCCUGAUCCAGCCAUUCCGCGUGAGUGAAGAAGGCCUUCGGGUUGUAAAGCUCUUUCAGCUGGAAAGAAAUCGCUCCGGGCGAAUAUCCCGGGGUCAAUGACGGUACCAGCAGAAGAAGCACCGGCUAACUACGUGCCAGCAGCCGCGGUAAUACGUAGGGUGCGAGCGUUAAUCGGAAUUACUGGGCGUAAAGCGUGCGCAGGCGGAUUGUUAAGCAAGAUGUGAAAUCCCCGGGCUUAACCUGGGAAUGGCAUUUUGAACUGGCAGUCUAGAGUGCGUCAGAGGGGGGUGGAAUUCCACGUGUAGCAGUGAAAUGCGUAGAGAUGUGGAGGAACACCGAUGGCGAAGGCAGCCCCCUGGGAUGACACUGACGCUCAUGUACGAAAGCGUGGGUAGCAAACAGGAUUAGAUACCCUGGUAGUCCACGCCCUAAACGAUGUCAACUGGUUGUUGGGGGAGUGAAAUCCCUUAGUAACGAAGCUAACGCGUGAAGUUGACCGCCUGGGGAGUACGGUCGC
rnacentral:rRNA from 1 species